ensembl:lncRNA
AAAUAGGUGUUUUUGCAACUAAAAAAAAACCCAGAAUCUAAUGAGAACAUUCUUGUUAUUAUUCAGUCUGUACUUCACUAGCUAACUCAUCUCCCACCUUGUAUUUGAAUCCUGUGUUAAUCCUAAUCUACGAAGAGGAAGCAGGAUGAGGCAGCAGUCAGCGUUGAGGAUUUCCUGUCCGUCUCCUAUCUCUCCCGCUUGCCUGCCGUUGAGCUCAGCUCACACUGAAAUCUGAGUCCCAAAUGACACGCUAGUCCAUAUGUAGUGCCCUACUUUUAACCAGAGCUCUGGUUUAAAGUAGGGCACGACGUUAGGGAACAAGUUGCCAUUUAGGACAGCAGCCUGAGAGACGAGGCUGCCGCGGGGUUGGCUGAGUGAUGAGUUGGGGGGUCUUAACCUGUAGACUGGGGUUCGGAGCCGCUUGCCAUAUCUCCCCUCGCCACAUUUCACUCCCUCCACACCUCUAGUUCAUCCCGAACGGCACCCUAUACCCGACAUAGUGCACUAAAUAUGACCAGGGCCCAUAUGGCACUCAUACAAGCCCAGGUCAAAGAUAGUAUAACUAUGUAGGGAAUAGGGUGCCAUUUUAGACAGAAAUCCUGCAAGCCUGUCUUCCACAAUACCCUCCAAUCCCUGUUAAAUAGGGGAUGGAUCUGAUUAUAUAGUGUAGAGUAGACAAAGCCUUCCCACCAAUUAGCCUGCUGUACAGAGUUGAAGCUGUUAUUUAUGACAGUACUCUCUCGCUUUGUCUCUCUCUCUCUCUCUCGCUCUCUCUCCAUGUCUCUUUCUCAUCAUCUUUCUCUCCCCUCAUCUCUCUCUCUCGCUCUCAACCACCUACCUAAGCCAACCAGGCAAGGAGUUUUGACACACACAACCUUUAAUCUCCCCCCACUGUAGAGUCCCAACACCACCAACCUCCUCUGACUGCAGAGCCCCAACACCACCAACCUCCUCUGACUGCAGAGCCCCAACACCACCAACCUCCUCUGACUGCAGAGCCCCAACACCACCAACCUCCUCUGACUGUAGAGUCCCAACACCCACCAGUCUUUGCACCAAUCAGCAGUCUAAGAAGGGAAACAGGAACUAAAUGAGAGCAGGUUCCACAAUGCCCAAGACGAAGACAGUCAUCAGACACAGAGGCUACAUCCCAAAUGGCACCCUAAAUCCCUGGAUUAGUGAACUACUUUUGACCAGCCCGGGAGUUACAUUAUAUAGGGAUUAGCAUGUUAUUAGAGACUCCUCCAGAGAUGGUCAUCAGUCAGUCUGCUUCUGAAGACGAACGGGCCCGUGCACAACGUCAUACACCCCUUGAUACCUAACUCACCUAGCUUCAAACCAAGGCCUUUUUUUCUUUUUUUUGGACUAAACUAUUGUUAAUGUAAAUAUCUAUAUAUAAUUUCAGAAGAAUGCUUAUUUUGUGUCAUAUUUUUUUUUUAUAAAGGUGAAUAUUGAGCAAUACUAUUUGAACUUCUGGGAACUUUGUUGCAAUCUGCUGGAUUGGCAUUGCUAACUAUUUUAGGGAUUGAAUAUUAUUUUCAAGGUUUGUAACACAUGAUUCAUUUACAUGAACAUGAAUGAAAAAAAAACAGCCUCUUAUUUAAGACAAAUUUUAUACCUUUGAGAGAAAAAAUGUGUAAAUUUAUUGCAUCAUUGUUAGAGUAAAUAAAUCAUUAUAUUCACA